UGCGUAGGCGGUCAUUUAAGUCUCAUGUGAAAUACCCAGGCUUAACUUGGGGUUGCAUGGGAAACUGGACGACUUGAGUGCAGGAGAGGUAAGCGGAAUUCCUAGUGUAGCGGUGAAAUGCGUAGAUAUUAGGAGGAACACCAGUGGCGAAGGCGGCUUACUGGACUGCAACUGACGCUGAGGCACGAAAGCGUGGGGAGCAAACA
rnacentral:rRNA from 1 species